CUUGAAUUAUUAUAAGAGGUCCAGCCUGCCCAGUGACUUAGUUCAACGGCCGCGGUAUCCUAACCGUGCGAAGGUAGCGUAAUCACUUGUUCUUUAAAUAAGGACUAGUAUGAAUGGCACCACGAAGGUUACACUGUCUCCUUUCUCUAAUCAGUGAAACUAAUCUUCCCGUGAAGAAGCGGGAAUAAGACUAUAAGACGAGAAGACCCUAUGGAGCUUUAAAUAAUGCAGCAAAUGCUACAAACCCACUAAACCCCAGGACCUCAUACUCUUUCUUGCAUUAUGCCCGCAAAUUUUAGGUUGGGGUGACCGCGGAGCAAAACACAACCUCCACGCUGAAAUGAACCACAUUCUUAGCCACGAGUAACAACUCUAAGCAUCAAUAUACUGACACCUAUUGACCCA
rnacentral:rRNA from 1 species